CCCUGACCUGGGGUAAGUCCUGCUGGUUUGAAUUGUGUGAAGUUGUCAAAGGUUGCUUUGCUCUCCAGAGCUUGGCACCAGCCCCACUGAAAUGUGAUGCCAUUGGUUUUCAGUAAAGGUUCCUUUCUGCAGGGCUGCAAACACUCAGAUCAGCUGCUACUGUGUAUACACAACUAGGGAACAAACCAACCGGCACAUUUAAAGCAGCCUUUUUAACCCCGAGACUUUCCAAGAUUUCUUCCUCCCCCAGGAAGUUUCCUUUUUUUCUAUUGUCAGACUUAGCACCGUGCUCUUGUAAUCAGAUCAGAGAGCUAGGAUCUCUGCUGCACAGUAGAGAGGCUUCCUUAAGAUAUUUGUCCUUGAAACUGCACCAAACUCUUGGAAGAACCCAGAACCUAGCUGGCAAUUUACUGGUUUAUCAACGAAAAAAUAUUGAAUAAUGAAGAUGUAAGAAAAAUUCCUGUGCACACGUUAUUGAAGUUUAAAAGUUUUCUAGGGAGCCUUAUAAUAUUCAGAAGAGGACAGAGAAGGAGACUUCCAGAGCUGAAAGGGU
rnacentral:lncRNA from 1 species